AGUGAACGCUGGCGGUAGGCCUAACACAUGCAAGUCGAACGGCAGCACAGUAAGAGCUUGCUCUUACGGGUGGCGAGUGGCGGACGGGUGAGGAAUACAUCGGAAUCUACUUUUUCGUGGGGGAUAACGUAGGGAAACUUACGCCAAUACCGCAUACGACCUACGGGUGAAAGCAGGGGAUCUUCGGACCUUGCGCGAUUGAAUGAGCCGAUGUCGGAUUAGCUAGUUGGCGGGGUAAAGGCCCACCAAGGCGACGAUCCGUAGCUGGUCUGAGAGGAUGAUCAGCCACACUGGAACUGAGACACGGUCCAGACUCCUACGGGAGGCAGCAGUGGGGAGUAUUGGACAAUGGGCGCAAGCCUGAUCCAGCCAUACCGCGUGGGUGAAGAAGGCCUUCGGGUUGUAAAGCCCUUUUGUUGGGAAAGAAAAGCAGCAGGUUAAUACCCCGCUGUUCUGACGGUACCCAAAGAAUAAGCACCGGCUAACUUCGUG
rnacentral:rRNA from 1 species